GGAGCGGGGUCCCGGUGCCUGGGGGCUCGGCUCGGCUCGGCUCGGCUCGGCUCGGCUCGGCUCGGCUCGGCUCCGCGCGCCGCGCUGGGGCUGCUCCCCCGCCACAGCUCCUCCCGGUGCUGCCGCCGCGCCGCCCGGCCUGCGCCUGAGCGGACGCCGGCGCCUCCGGGCGGGCUCCGAGCAGGAGACCGGAGCGAGGGUGCCGCUCUCUCGUCUUCCCGGGGCUCCUCCGAGGAGGCUUUAGCCACGGAGAACCGAGAGCGACGCCGGCCCCCGCCUGCCCUGGGCGGUCUCGGCGUCCUGGGACGGUGCCGGGCAAGGGAAACCGGGGGAAAAUGGGGCAGAGCCGGCGCCAUUUCCUCUCUUCUUCCCCCGCUGCUGGGCUCCGGUGCGGGUGCGGCGGCACCCGCCGCUGCCCGGUUACCGCUGCCUGGAGCCCCGGCCCGCGCCCGCAGCCCCGGCUCUGUGUGCCUGCCGGGAACCACGGCGGAACAGGGCAGGCACCGAGGGUCGGGGCUGCCUGCGCCGGCAGUCACCGGUGAGCGGGUUCUCGCCCUCUUCCCGCGGCGGGAGCAGCCGUGGGUUCCCGAUGACUUCCCCGGGGGCUGAGGGUCUCCCGGGGCGGCCGGUGACCCCUCCCGCGGCUGGGCUCCCUCCUCCCGACGCGGUCACGGCUGUUGCUUCUCCCCGGCUCUUCCCCGCAGCGGCUCCGGCAGGAUAGAGCUUUCCGUCCGUCCGGCGCUGGCGAGAGCUAGGACCGGUUCAGCUCAUUUAUGGCUCAGGCUCGAUGGCAGCUUCAGGACACUGUUUCUGCCCCCGUUUUUUUCAGGCCCAGCCCCCGGAUGGGUCCAGUUCCAUCGUGGCUGCAGCUUGUGUCCAUCUCCAGCUCCGUUUGCUGCUUCAACCUGCUUGUGCUUGUUGAACCGAGCCUGGCUCAUGGCCAGGUCGUAAAUCAAUCACUGUCACGAUGUGCAGAUGAAUACGACCUGUCAUAAUUGCUCACUCUCCAGCCCUGAGCUAACAAGCGCCUAGGACUCUUGCAGGGGUUGUACAUGCCUUGAGAAAAUAAAGAAUUGGAGCCCAAA